GAUGAACGCUAGCUACAGGCUUAACACAUGCAAGUCGAGGGGAAACGACAUCGAAAGCUUGCUUUUGAUGGGCGUCGACCGGCGCACGGGUGAGUAACGCGUAUCCAACCUGCCCAUCACUUGGGGAUAACCUUGCGAAAGUAAGACUAAUACCCAAUGAUAUCUCUAGAAGACAUCUGAAAGAGAUUAAAGAUUUAUCGGUGAUGGAUGUGGAUGCGUCUGAUUAGCUUGUUGGCGGGGUAACGGCCCACCAAGGCAACGAUCAGUAGGGGUUCUGAGAGGAAGGUCCCCCACAUUGGAACUGAGACACGGUCCAAACUCCUACGGCAGGCAGCAGUGAGGAAUAGUAGUCAAUGGGCGUGAGCCUGAACCAGCCAAGUAGCGUGCAGGAAGACGGCCCUAUGGGUUGUAAACUGCUUUUAUAAGGGAAUAAAGUGAGAGUCGUGACUCUUUUUGUAUGUACCUUAUGAAUAAGGACCGGCUAAUUCCGUG
rnacentral:rRNA from 1 species